UGCAGUCGAACGGUAGCAGUACUAGCUUGCUAGUAGCUGACGAGUGGCGGACGGGUGAGUAAUGCGUAGGAAUCUACCUAGAAGAGUGGGAUAACCUGGGGAAACUCAGGCUAAUACCGCAUGUGCACUAAGGUGUAAAGCAGGGGACCUUCGGGCCUUGCGCUUUUAGAUGAGCCUACGUCAGAUUAGCUUGUUGGUGGGGUAAAGGCCUACCAAGGCCACGAUCUGUAGCUGGUCUGAGAGGACGAUCAGCCACACUGGGACUGAGACACGGCCCAGACUCCUACGGGAGGCAGCAGUGGGGAAUAUUGGACAAUGGGCGCAAGCCUGAUCCAGCAAUGCCGCGUGUGUGAAGAAGGCCUGCGGGUUGUAAAGCACUUUUGUUGGGGAGGAAAGUUAUUCCGUUAAUACCGGGAUAUUUUGACGUUACCCAAAGAAUAAGCACCGGCUAACUCUGUGCCAGCAGCCGCGGUAAUACAGAGGGUGCGAGCGUUAAUCGGAAUUACUGGGCGUAAAGGGUGCGUAGGUGGCUAAAUAAGUUGGAUGUGAAAUCCCUGGGCUCAACCUAGGAAUUGCAUUCAAGACUGUUUAGCUAGAGUACUGUAGAGGGAAGUGGAAUUUCCGGUGUAGUGGUGAAAUGCGUAGAUAUCGGAAGGAACACCAGUGGCGAAGGCGACUUCCUGGACAGAUACUGACACUGAGGCACGAAAGCGUGNNGAGCAAACAGGAUUAGAUACCCUGGUAGUCCACGCUGUAAACGAUGAGAACUAGCUGUUGGAGUCUUUGAGGCUUUAGUAGCGAAGCUAACGCGUUAAGUUCUCCGCCUGGGGAGUANNNCCGCAAGGUUAAAACUCAAAGGAAUUGA
rnacentral:rRNA from 1 species